UACGUAGGGGGCAAGCGUUGUCCGGAUUUAUUGGGCGUAAAGAGCUCGUAGGCGGUCUGUUGCGUCGGCUGUGAAAACCCGGGGCUCAACUCCGGGCCUGCAGCCGAUACGGGCAGACUAGAGUUCGGCAGGGGAGACUGGAAUUCCUGGUGUAGCGGUGAAAUGCGCAGAUAUCAGGAGGAACACCGGUGGCGAAGGCGGGUCUCUGGGCCGAUACUGACGCUGAGGAGCGAAAGCGUGGGGAGCGAACAGG
rnacentral:rRNA from 1 species